CCUACGGGCGGCAGCAGUGGGGAAUAUUGGGCAAUGGAGGAAACUCUGACCCAGCAACGCCGCGUGAAUGAUGCAGGUCUUCGGAUUGUAAAGCUCUUUUCUAAGGGAAGAAGGAAGUGACGGUACCUUAGUAAUAAGCCUAGGCUAACUACGUGCCAGCAGCCGCGGUAAUACGUAGGAGGCAAGCGUUAUCCGGAAUGACUGGGAGUAAAGGGUGCGGAGGUGGUUCAGCAAGUUAGUAGCGUAAUUCCGGAGCUCAACGGCGGCACUACUACUAAAACUGUUGGACUUGAGUGCAGGAGGGGCAAGUGGAAUUUCUAGUGUAGCGGUGGAAUGCGUAGAUAUUAGGAAGAACACCGGUGGCGAAGGCGAGUUGCUGGACUGUAACUGACACUGAGGCACGAAAGCGUGGGGAGCAAACAGGAUUAGAUACCCCAGUAGUC
rnacentral:rRNA from 1 species